UACGGAGGGUGCAAGCGUUAUCCGGAUUCACUGGGUUUAAAGGGUGCGUAGGCGGCUUGAUAAGUCAUUGGUGAAAGCUCGCGGCUCAACCGCGAAACUGCCAAUGAAACUGCCAAGCUUGAAUCUGGUUGAAGUGGGCGGAAUACAACAUGUAGCGGUGAAUGCUUAGAUAUGUUGUAGAAUCACCGAUUGCGAAGGCAGCUCACGUGAAGCCAAC
rnacentral:rRNA from 1 species